CCUAGUGCUUCUAGUGCCAUUUCCACUAAAUCCACUCUCUUCCCCCGUCUCCGCGGCUCUUUAAAAGUGGAGACGCCCUCGGGAGGGGAGCCACCAACAGGAAAGGACGGACCCUCGGGCCACAGAAGGCCUCCAAAUGUGAUCAGCUUCAGGCCCUACAAAAUGUGGGUCUCCCCCGACCUCUAGCCAUAUAGUAGUUUUUGUAUCCUGGAGCCCCCGGCUUUGCUUUGCUCCCUUUUUUAUGUCGAAUAUUGUCCCACUCCACUCGUUUUGGCCCAUCUUUCUAGAUCCAAUUUAAUCAACCCCCUGCAGCCUUAUUUAAAAGCCACAGAACUAACUGCCCACUACGAGAAGACUUUUCUACAGCCCGUGAUACACAAGUCCAGAGGCAGGGAGAUGGCCUGGAACUCAGUGCUGACCAAGGCCGGGGCUGUGGACGCCCCUCCAACUGUAAGGUCAAUCGGUUAUGGCUGUCCACUGAGAGGAGCUCCCUGGGGAUUGGGAAGUAGAGGACUGUCAUAUGGCUACACGUGAUGGCGGACAGACUCACAGGGCCCGACACACCUUUACUCUCCUCCUGCUCUGUGCCCACCUCAUCGUCUUCACAGCAGCCUGAGUUCACUGGACCCACAGAGGCUGCAGCCCCCCACAAAGCACACCUUGCGCUCCCUUUCAUGGCCUGGCUGGUGGCCAUGUCCGCAGGGCUACUGGGUUUUCUCAAAAGCUUCAACUGGAGCCCUGUACCAGAUUCAGCUGGACAGGCUUAGUGACUGUGUCCCUCUUCCCUGCAACUCCCAACCUCAUGAAAGCUUCCCUUCCUUGCCCCUGUGCCUUGGAGAGGCUGUUUUCCUAACUGAGCCCUGACCAUACCCUUCCUUUGUCCUUUUUUACCACCAGGGAUGCCAGCCUAGGAAAAAAAAAAAUUGACAAGGAAAAUAAUGUCGGCAUUUUUCACUAGAGAAGAUGGGAGGAUCAUAUAAAUGUCACCAGACCACCAGCUGGCCCACCAGUGGGUCCUUGUCAGUAAUUGCAGACCCCAGACUCUCCCAUCAGUUAGCAUUAUGGUGAGGGGUCAUAUGGACAUUAUCCAACAUGUUGAAAUUGGGGCCCUGUCUAUAGAUGUCCUUUUGUCUCUUGCCUGUUGGUAACUAGAAUGAAUAUUUUUUUUUUUUUACUCAAAAAGAGCUCCCAUUGACAUGAUGAAACUUUCAGAUGUGAAAAAUCAAUCAUUAAUAUUGAUUGUAAAAAAUACUUCUGAAAAGAAAAUGUUUAUAUUGUUUUUACUGGUCAGAUUAGGCUAGGCUGCACUACAGUGAUAAAUAAACUCAAAAUCUUAAUGUCUAGAAACAUAGGAGUGAUUCUUUGGUCAUGCAAAAUCCACUGCAGGUCAAAUGACUGUCUGAGGCAGCGCCCUUCCAAGUGGUGACUCGGGGAUCCAGGCUGCUUGCAUCUGGUAACCAUGCAGCCCAGGACACAUGGUUUCCAGGAAAGAGAGUGUGGAGGGUCAUCCACCAACUAUGAAAUGCUUCAUCUUUGAAAUGACUUCUGCUCACAGCUCUGUAUACAUGCCAUGCAUUUCUGUAUGUGUGCCCACGUGCUUCUGUGCACGCAUCAUGCGUGCAAGAGCAGUCUUAUAAGAGCUCAAAACUGGAAACAGUCUAAACGUCAAAAACAGUAAAAUGCAUGAGUAAAUUUGGGAAUUUAUGUUAUACUAUUUAGUAAAGAAAAUGAGUGAGCUACAGAUAAAUACCACGACAGUAAUGAAUCUCAUGAACAGAAUGAGGAGUGAAAGAAGCCAGACACAAAAAAAGGUGUAAACUAUCAAAUUUGACGUAUAUAUAGUGAAAGCAUUUCUAAAGAAAUGGACAGAACUAAACAGUGUUAGAUGCCAAAGUAAUCGAGGAUAAUUUAUACAUUGGAAAGGAGAGGGGCCAUACAGGGCUUCUCAUGUUGAGAUGUUCUGUUUCUUGAUCUGAAUGGUGGUUACAUAGGCGCUUGUUUUGUACUA